rnacentral:rRNA from 1 species
UACGGGAGGCAGCAGUGGGGAAUAUUGCACAAUGGGCGCAAGCCUGAUGCAGCCAUGCCGCGUGUAUGAAGAAGGCCUUCGGGUUGUAAAGUACUUUCAGUCGUGAGGAAGGUGUUAAGGUUAAUAACCUUAGCAAUUGACGUUAGCGACAGAAGAAGCACCGGCUAACUCCGUGCCAGCAGCCGCGGUAAUACGGAGGGUGCGAGCGUUAAUCGGAAUUACUGGGCGUAAAGGGCACGCAGGCGGUUAAUUAAGUUGGAUGUGAAAUCCCCGGGCUUAACCUGGGAAUGGCAUUCAAGACUGGUUAGCUAGAGUCUUGUAGAGGGGGUAGAAUUCCAUGUGUAGCGGUGAAAUGCGUAGAGAUGUGGAGGAAUACCGGUGGGCGAAGGGCGGCCCCGUGGGACAAAGACUGACGCUCAUGUGCGAAAGCGUGGGGAGCAAACAGGGAUUAGAUACC